AUCCUUUUGAAGUUCAUAAGUGUGAUGAUUGGGUGUUCACACUCAUGUGUGAAAUGUGCCUCCCUCAGACCUUAUUAGGACAUUGGCACAUUAUCUGUCUGAUG
ensembl:snoRNA small nucleolar RNA U13